GACGAACGCUGGCGGCGUGCUUAACACAUGCAAGUCGAGCGGUAAGGCCCUUUCGGGGGUACACGAGCGGCGAACGGGUGAGUAACACGUGGGUGACCUGCCCUUAGCUCUGGGAUAAGCCUGGGAAACUGGGUCUAAUACCGGAUAUGACUCCAUGACGCAUGUUGUGGGGUGGAAAGCCUUGUGCGGCUAGGGAUGGGCCCGCGGCCUAUCAGCUUGUUGGUGGGGUGAGGCCUACCAAGGCGACGACGGGUAGCCGGCCUGAGAGGCGACCGGCCACACUGGGACUGAGACACGGCCCAGACUCCUACGGGAGGCAGCAGUGGGGAAUCUUGCGCAAUGGGCGAAAGCCUGACGCAGCGACGCCGCGUGGGGAUGACGGCCU
rnacentral:rRNA from 1 species